rnacentral:tRNA from 1 species
GCGCGAGUGGCGGAAUUGGCAGACGCGCAGGAUUUAGGAUCCUGUACCGGAAGGUGUGGGGGUUCAAGUCCCCCCUCGCGCA